UCCAUGAGCAAGUUGAAGCUAGUGUAAGAACUAGUGGAGGACUGAACCCAUAGGCGUUGAAAAGCCCCGGGAUGACUUGUGGAUAGGGGUGAAAGGCCAAUCAAACUUCGUGAUAGCUGGUUCUCUCCGAAAUAUAUUUAGGUAUAGCGUUGUGUCGUAAUAUAAGGGGGUAGAGCACUGAAUGGGCUAGGGCAUACACCAAUGUACCAAACCCUAUCAAACUCCGAAUACCUUAUAUGUAAUCACAGCAGUCAGGCGGCGAGUGAUAAAAUCCGUCGUCAAGAGGGAAACAACCCAGACUACCAGCUAAGGUCCCUAAAUCUUACUUAAGUGGAAAACGAUGUGAAGUUACUUAAACAACCAGGAGGUUGGCUUAGAAGCAGCCAUCCUUUAAAGAAAGCGUAAUAGCUCACUGGUCUAGUGAUUUUGCGCGGAAAAUAUAACGGGGCUAAAGUAAGUACCGAAGCUGUAGACUUGCGCACAACUUAGAUUAUUUAAGUUUAGAAUAUGAGAAACUAAGUUAUAUUUUUACUGAUUUUUAUAGAGUAAAGAUAGAAAUAAAACUUAGUAAAAUCAGUAAAAAUAUUCUUAGGCUAAAGUUAAGUAGUUUAAGUUGUGUGCAAGUGGUAGGAGAGCGUUCUAUUUGCGUCGAAGGUAUACCGGUAAGGAGUGCUGGAGCGAAUAGAAGUGAGCAUGCAGGCAUGAGUAGCGAUAAUUAAUGUGAGAAUCAUUAACGCCGUAAACCCAAGGUUUCCUACGCGAUGCUCGUCAUCGUAGGGUUAGUCGGGUCCUAAGUCGAGUCCGAAAGGGGUAGACGAUGGCAAAUUGGUUAAUAUUCCAAUACCAACAUUAGUGUGCGAUGGAAGGACGCUUAGGGCUAAGGGGGCUAGCGGAUGGAAGUGCUAGUCUAAGGUCGUAGGAGGUUAUACAGGCAAAUCCGUAUAACAAUACUCCGAGAACUGAAAGGCUUUUUGAAGUCUUCGGAUGGAUAGAAGAACCCCUGAUGCCGUCGAGCCAAGAAAAGUUUCUAAGUUUAGCUAAUGUUGCCCGUACCGUAAACCGACACAGGUGGGUGGGAUGAGUAUUCUAAGGCGCGUGGAAGAACUCUCUUUAAGGAACUCUGCAAAAUAGCACCGUAUCUUCGGUAUAAGGUGUGGUUAGCUUUGUAUUAGGAUUUACUCCGAAAGCGAAGAAACUUACAACAAAGAGUCCCUCCCGACUGUUUACCAAAAACACAGCACUCUGCUAACUCGUAAGAGGAUGUAUAGGGUGUGACGCCUGCCCGGUGCUCGAAGGUUAAUUGAUGGGGUUAGCAUUAGCGAAGCUCUUGAUCGAAGCCCGAGUAAACGGCGGCCGUAACUAUAACGGUCCUAAGGUAGCGAAAUUCCUUGUCGGUUAAAUACCGACCUGCAUGAAUGGCGUAACGAGAUGGGAGCUGUCUCAAAGAGGGAUCCAGUGAAAUUGUAGUGGAGGUGAAAAUUCCUCCUACCCGCGGCAAGACGGAAAGACCCCGUGGACCUUUACUACAGCUUGACACUGCUAUUUGGAUAAGAAUGUGCAGGAUAGGUGGGAGGCUUUGAGUAUAUGACGCCAGUUGUAUAGGAGCCAUUGUUGAGAUACCACUCUUUCUUAUUUGGGUAGCUAACCAGCUUGAGUUAUCCUCAAGUGGGACAAUGUCUGGUGGGUAGUUUGACUGGGGCGGUCGCCUCCCAAAUAAUAACGGAGGCUUACAAAGGUUGGCUCAGAACGGUUGGAAAUCGUUCAUAGAGUAUAAAGGUAUAAGCCAGCUUAACUGCAAGACAUACAAGUCAAGCAGAGACGAAAGUCGGUCUUAGUGAUCCGGUGGUUCUGUGUGGAAGGGCCAUCGCUCAAAGGAUAAAAGGUACCCCGGGGAUAACAGGCUGAUCUCCCCCAAGAGCUCACAUCGACGGGGAGGUUUGGCACCUCGAUGUCGGCUCAUCGCAUCCUGGGGCUGGAGCAGGUCCCAAGGGUAUGGCUGUUCGCCAUUUAAAGCGGUACGCGAGCUGGGUUCAGAACGUCGUGAGACAGUUCGGUCCCUAUCUGCCGUGGGCGUAAGAAGAUUGAAGAGAUUUGACCCUAGUACGAGAGGACCGGGUUGAACAAACCACUGGUGUAGCUGUUGUUCUGCCAAGAGCAUCGCAGCGUAGCUAAGUUUGGAAAGGAUAAACGCUGAAAGCAUCUAAGCGUGAAGCCAACUCUAAGAUGAAUCUUCUCUAAGCUCUCUAGAAGACUACUAGUUUGAUAGGCUGGGUGUGUAAUGGAUGAAAGUCCUUUAGCUGACCAGUACUAAUAGAGCGUUUGGCUUAUCUUU
rnacentral:rRNA from 1 species